ACAGGUGGCUUCUGAUUCCAGAGCCUGGCAGGACCUGCUGGAAGACUGGGUACAUCAAAACUGCCAAAGUCUCAAGGUCCAGCCAAAGGGCAAGGAGAUGGUGACUUCACCAGCAGGGAGUGGUGACUUCAGAGAAGAAGCAGGACAAUGCACACCAAGGAACUUUGAGAUAUGCUGAGACUGCUGCAAGCCAGGUAGGUCUUGCCUCCCUGUAAGCAGAACCAUGGAUGGUGGAAAGUCCCAAGAAUAUGCACCCUGUAAAAGCAUAGGAAUCAGGUGGGGAAAUAGUUUAUUCUAAUCUAUUUAUCCUCUUCUGUCUCACUUUUAGAGAGAAUAUUUCUUAGAAUAUUUUUAGGGGUAAGAAGUGGAGGAAUUAAUCUAGUGUUUGGGUUUAAAAACCUUAUAAGGUUUUUUGGUGUGCUUAGGUUAAGAGCCUGUUUAAUGCCUCAGUAUUGGUCAUUCAGCAUCAUUCUCUGCUUAAUGCCUCAACCUUUGACAUCACUUCUGUAGUCUCUUGCAUCACUAGAAUUUUUAAAUUUCUGGCAUUGCAUGUGGUAAUAUUACCAAAGUCAUAUUAGAGAAAAUUGCAAAAACCUGUAUGAGCCUCAGCUGGCAGACAGCAGUCAUCUAGAGAGAGAGUGCUAAGAACAGCUGUGUCAAGGAAAUACAGAGUGCAGAUAAAGCAAGCUUCUGGGCAGGUUGUGGGGAGUCUUGGAUGUCCUUUCCCCUCUAGCGCAGCACUAUGGUAUGUUUGCAGGAGCACAGGGAGCAGCCAUGUUUGCAAUAUGCUCCCUGGCAUGCUUCCUUGGAGGGAUCCUUCGUGGUCACAACAGACUGUGCUGACUGCUGAAGGCUAGAACUGAGCACAUGGGCUUGUUCUUCAGUACUUGGGACCCAGGCCACCCCUUAGGCAGGGCAGGGGUCUGAGGCAUUAGGAUUUUGCCACUUCAUUAUUUACCAUUAUUUAUCAUUAUUUACCAUUGGAUAGCCAUCUCUUGAAGAAUAUGGUUUGCAAUUGGUAACCUUAUAUUAGAAUGAAAAAAAAAAAAUCCCCACAUGAAGGAGAAGGAAAAAAAAGCAACAGAAUUCAAGAUUGCUCCUUGCAUUUGGGAGCUGCUGUCGCUUGCAUGAGGUUUGUUCCCUCCCCUUCAGCCCUGCUUCCAUUUUCUAAUUUCUUUUAGUUAACAUUUGUUUUCUCUCCCAGCUGCAGUUCUCUCCCCUUAAGCCUGUACUGAGCCGUGGGCCAGGUGUGUAUUGUUCACUGCACCAUGAGGACCUUGCUAGCUGUACAUCUUCAUGCAGCUUUGUACAGAUGAUUGCAGAAUUUGUAGAUCCUUUUCCCCAUCCCUCAUAGCUGUUCAUGAGGUUUUGACUUCUUCAGCAAUCCUUGCUGCCAUGGUUUUCCUUUCAGUGGUUUGGAUGCUGAGGCUAGCCUUAGUGCCAGUGCCAUAUUGUUUGUUUUCAGCAGCACUGCUGGAGUAUUUAACUUUUUUCUGAGACAGAUCUACUCUCCUGAGUUGGUAAUCUGUAGCGUAUGAAGCCUGCCUCCAACUCUCUUCGGAGAGCUGUGGGGUUCUGUGGGUACUGGACUGCUGCUCCUGUAUCAGCUUCAUUGCUGGCUUCCCUUCUGUGACCGUGAAGAAGUCAUUCUGGAUGCAGUUUUCAAAAGCACUGAUGAAAACAUAAGUAAUUAUAUGCUUGCUUGGUGCUGAUGUCUGAAGGCUUUAAUCACCUCUUUAAAGCCAGCUGCAGUAAGAAACCAGGUAGCACUCAGUGAAUUUGGCUGAAUUUGGAGAAGAUGUUUAAGGUCAUGAGAGCCCCAAGCUCAGAAUGGAAAUCUGGGGGUGCCAGAUCCCUCCAGGAGCUUCAGAUGAGGUUGGACAGCUUCUGCAAGGAGUCCGCUUUUAUGGCAGGAGAAGGUUUGUGUGUCUGCAAGGGAGGGCUGGAAAGCUGGUUUGGGCAGCGUGGAUGCGGGCAGCAGAGUUUCUGCCAAGUUCAAAGCUUCUUUAUCCAGUUGUGAGCUGAGUGUUGCUCCUUGCAUUAUUAUGCCUAUUAGUGUUAAUGUUUUACUUGAACACGUGCCAGAUUUCAUGAGCCAUCGGUAUUUUGAGAGAAGAGUAGCUAUUUUUGGAAGGGGUCUGAUGUUUCUGUGACUCCCUCUUCUGCAUCUGUCCGGUGAUUCAGAAGUAAAUUCAACCACUUGGAGUAUAACCCUCCAUACUUCUCAUAUACGUGCAUCAUUUAAUGUAUUAAAUUUAUUUCUCAUGCUAUAUUUAUUUUAAAAUUUCAUUCAGUAACAUGUCUCUGUGUGCAUUUAAAGGGAGCCACAAAUCUUUAUGAGACAAUUUUAAUGCUACCCACCUACUUUUCUGGGGGGAUUGGUAUGAGAGUAGGUACUUAAAAAGCUGUGAUUGUGUCAAACUGGGCUUAUAUUUCCCAAUUAUUCAUACCUAGAAGUGUUAUCAGCCAACACAGAGUGUUACCAGCAUCAUUUUAAAUUCUCUUCACCUUCUUCAGUCUGGGUUUUAUUUGAAAAGCAGACAUGCAGUCCCCAGUGAGAAUUAAAGUAGAAGCAUUAGCUUGCAAAAUAUAUGCCAAUGACCUAAUGAUUCUGACAUUUCCACAAUACAAGCUUUAGAAGAAGGCAUGCAGACUGCAAAGUCUGUUUUUCUAUCUCAUAUUUUUUUUAAUGGCUAAAUGUUUGUAGGAAACAAAAUGGAUUUAUUCUGCUCAAUCCAGGGUAUAAUAUCAGGACUUAUCCGGUUCCGGGCCCCAGGGCUUCAGACAACUAACAAAACACAUCUUACUUCUGCUCUGCUAGCUCUCUGUUAUGCUUUUCACAUGCAGGAAGAAAGAGUAAAAGCAUAACCCAGUUGAAUAAAGCAGCAUGGCCUGCUGUUCUUUGCUUAUGAAGCAUCACAUGAUAGACAUCAAUUUAAGAAGAACCCCCCACCUGUGGUUGAGUAUACAUGAAGCCGUCAAGCCAUUUUGUGCAGUAUGAAGGGAAUUUUACCAUCCCCAUCACUGCCAUAGUGCAGGAAUAUGUUUAAAAUGUUAAUGUCUUACCAAACGAUGCUUCAUUAUUUUUGAAUAAUCAAGUGAUUUUACGCCAUUUAAAUAAAAUCAAAGAUGCUGCUUCCCCAUCUAUUUUGAAGUGCUCCAGCCUUUCAAAUCUUCUCCUCUGAUAGAUGGAAAGAAAGCUAAUCUGAGCUUCUCCCUGUAGAUUUUAAGUUGCAAUUUGCUUUUUGGCUCUUCAGACACUGUUUAUGUAAGGAUGUAUUGGGAUAGGGCUGUCUGCCAUGAUAUGGAAAAAAAAUAAUAUUUUUCUAAUAAAAAUAAGAUGCUAUUUAAGCAAGAAGUCAAAGGAAAUCUAUCCUCUCCUUUGACCUUUCAGACUGUGGUAAGCAUAGAACAUGUAGGGUCAAUUUUACGACACAGUCAUGUUAAAUGAAGUGUAUGUGAUUUAUUUUGGUUGCAAUUUCAAAGGUUUUGAUCAUGAGAGGUAGAAGGAAAGAUUCAUUUGAAUGUGUUCUUGUUGUCUUUUGUGCCAUACCUUUAUGGAAAAACUAUGUCAUGCUUAAGACACACCAUGUCCAAGAACAUUCUCUUAACCAUGGGAUUUUCUUGUUCAUUUUUUUCAUGUACUUCAAAUCUUUCCUCUCAUUAUCCUGAGAAGUUACAAGAAGAGCUGAUGGCAAUAUGGAAGUCUGAAAAUGUUUGGCAUUUGAUUGGACCAUAGACCGGUGAUUUUAUCCUUAUCUUUUUCCUUCCUUUCCCUCUUCUGUAUGCUGUAUGUAGGUGAUGAGUGAGCUGCGGCGAUUUCUCCUACCUACAAAUAUUUGGGGUGCAAAAUGACAUAAAUUUCCGAAGUGGUCUGCGUACGUUAGGAUCUUGUAAAUUUGAAUCAUUUCCUUGUGAUAUAGUUUACAGCAAAUAAACAGUAAAGGAAUCACUAGAAAUUCAUGAGACAAAGCUAAACGCAAUUGCUGUUGCUGACUGUAAUAGAAAUAUUUCAAAUAUCUGGCUAUAGACCAAGAAGUGGCUGGUCACUAUGUUUGAAAACCAAGUCCCUGUAAAAAAGUGUAAGAACCAUUUGGAGAUGGUUGAUUCCUUUUCUGCUAUUUUUUUCCUUGCAGUUGCACUUUGUGAACACAGAGGAAAAACACAGCGGGUGUGACCACUACCAUGCAGUGCCUUGCUUUCAUUUUCACCAUGUGCUUCAAUUUUCUGCAGAGGUGAAGCCUGCUGAAGCCUUCUGCCUUUGAAGAACUACUUAAGAUGAAAUGAUUCUGAAGUGCAUUAAAGGGCAUUUACUU